GCGGCGGACGGGUGAGUAACACGUGGGUAACCUGCCCUAUAGACUGGGAUAACUCGCGGAAACGCGUGCUAAUACCGGAUAACACAUCAAAGUGCAUGCUUUGAUGUUGAAAGAUGGUUCUGCUAUCACUAUAGGAUGGGCCCGCGGCGCAUUAGCUUGUUGGUGGGGUAACGGCCUACCAAGGCGACGAUGCGUAGCCGACCUGAGAGGGUGAUCGGCCACACUGGGACUGAGACACGGCCCAGACUCCUACGGGAGGCAGCAGUAGGGAAUCUUCCACAAUGGGCGAAAGCCUGAUGGAGCAACGCCGCGUGAGCGAAGAAGGUCUUCGGAUCGUAAAGCUCUGUUGUAAAGGGAAGAACAAGUGCAGUAGUAACUGGCUGCACCUUGACGGUACCUUACUAGAAAGCCACGGCUAACUACGUGCCAGCAGCCGCGGUAAUAC
rnacentral:rRNA from 1 species